AGAGUUUGAUCAUGGCUCAGAUUGAACGCUGGCGGCAGGCCUAACACAUGCAAGUCGAGCGGUAGCACAGAGAGCUUGCUCUCGGGUGACGAGCGGCGGACGGGUGAGUAAUGUCUGGGAAACUGCCUGAUGGAGGGGGAUAACUACUGGAAACGGUAGCUAAUACCGCAUAACGUCGCAAGACCAAAGAGGGGGACCUUCGGGCCUCUUGCCAUCGGAUGUGCCCAGAUGGGAUUAGCUAGUAGGUGGGGUAAAGGCUCACCUAGGCGACGAUCCCUAGCUGGUCUGAGAGGAUGACCAGCCACACUGGAACUGAGACACGGUCCAGACUCCUACGGGAGGCAGCAGUGGGGAAUAUUGCACAAUGGGCGCAAGCCUGAUGCAGCCAUGCCGCGUGUAUGAAGAAGGCCUUCGGGUUGUAAAGUACUUUCAGCGGGGAGGAAGGGAGUAAAGUUAAUACCUUUGCUCAUUGACGUUACCCGCAGAAGAAGCACCGGCUAACUCCGUGCCAGCAGCCGCGGUAAUACGGAGGGUGCAAGCGUUAAUCGGAAUUACUGGGCGUAAAGCGCACGCAGGCGGUUUGUUAAGUCAGAUGUGAAAUCCCCGGGCUCAACCUGGGAACUGCAUCUGAUACUGGCAAGCUUGAGUCUCGUAGAGGGGGGUAGAAUUCCAGGUGUAGCGGUGAAAUGCGUAGAGAUCUGGAGGAAUACCGGUGGCGAAGGCGGCCCCCUGGACGAAGACUGACGCUCAGGUGCGAAAGCGUGGGGAGCAAACAGGAUUAGAUACCCUGGUAGUCCACGCCGUAAACGAUGUCGACUUGGAGGUUGUGCCCUUGAGGCGUGGCUUCCGGAGCUAACGCGUUAAGUCGACCGCCUGGGGAGUACGGCCGCAAGGUUAAAACUCAAAUGAAUUGACGGGGGCCCGCACAAGCGGUGGAGCAUGUGGUUUAAUUCGAUGCAACGCGAAGAACCUUACCUGGUCUUGACAUCCACGGAAGUUUUCAGAGAUGAGAAUGUGCCUUCGGGAACCGUGAGACAGGUGCUGCAUGGCUGUCGUCAGCUCGUGUUGUGAAAUGUUGGGUUAAGUCCCGCAACGAGCGCAACCCUUAUCCUUUGUUGCCAGCGGUCCGGCCGGGAACUCAAAGGAGACUGCCAGUGAUAAACUGGAGGAAGGUGGGGAUGACGUCAAGUCAUCAUGGCCCUUACGACCAGGGCUACACACGUGCUACAAUGGCGCAUACAAAGAGAAGCGACCUCGCGAGAGCAAGCGGACCUCAUAAAGUGCGUCGUAGUCCGGAUUGGAGUCUGCAACUCGACUCCAUGAAGUCGGAAUCGCUAGUAAUCGUGGAUCAGAAUGCCACGGUGAAUACGUUCCCGGGCCUUGUACACACCGCCCGUCACACCAUGGGAGUGGGUUGCAAAAGAAGUAGGUAGCUUAACCUUCGGGAGGGCGCUUACCACUUUGUGAUUCAUGACUGGGGUGAAGUCGUAACAAGGUAACCGUAGGGGAACCUGCGGUUG
rnacentral:rRNA from 1 species